rnacentral:rRNA from 1 species
ACGCUCGACACCUACGGGGGCAGCAGUGGGGAAUAUUGCACAAUGGGGGAAACCCUGAUGCAGCGACGCCGCGUGAGCGAAGAAGUAUUUCGGUAUGUAAAGCUCUAUCAGCAGGGAAGAAACUGACGGUACCUGACUAAGAAGCACCGGCUAAAUACGUGCCAACAGCCGCCGGUAAGUACUGAGCGGGCGUGGCGAAGGACG